CAUGUAUGUGUGUGUGUGUGUGUGUGUGUGUGUGUGUGUGUGUAUGUACGGGGACACACACACACACACACACACACACACACACACAAAGAC
rnacentral:miRNA from 1 species